rfam:Canis lupus familiaris chromosome 4, whole genome shotgun sequence.
CCAAUAUUCCCAGGUAGCCCACAGUGUCCUACAAAAAAACUCUGGGUUAGACAUAUGGGGUUCUGG